rnacentral:lncRNA from 1 species
GCGGAUUUUCUGAGAGCAACACAAAACGGACCAGCGGAGGGCUUUGCUCCAAGCCUGCUUGCCUGUAAAGUUCCCUCCCCACCUUGCAUAUGCACUCUGGUUUUGCUGCCUAUUUUCCCUCUCCCUGCCCUCUCCCCACUCCUCCCCCUCCUCUGUCCUCCUUCCGCCCCCGCCUCGGUCCUGGGGUUCACACCAGGGGCCUCGCACCCGCUAAGCAAGCGCUCUACCACUGAGCCGCACCCCCAGGCCUUUUUCUUUUUUAUUUUGAGACAGGUUCUUGCUGAGUUGUCUGGGCUGAACUUGAACUUGUGAUUUCCCUGCCUCGGCCUCCGGAGCAGCUGGGCUCACGGGCGGAGCACCGCGCCCAGCUCAGCCCUCCUUUUCUGGGUCCUGGCUCGUUCGCCAUCCACCUCCCCUCCCGUUCCAGGCAGAGAGGCCCUCUGUGUCUGGCUCAUGCCUGUAACUACAAGCCCAGGCUGGGCCCCCAGUCAGAGCUGCACAGCUCAUGCCCGAGGAAAGAGCACAAACGGAAGGCAGCAGUGGGAGGGAGGCAGGGAGGGAGGCGUCCUAAGCAGGGGACAGGAGUGGCGGGGAGUGAGGCACCCUGAACCCCUCAGCCCACCACAGGGGUGUACACCCCGCGGCUCCAGCCUACAGCGCCCGUGUGGGAAGGUGGCCCGGGAUGGGCAGCGCUCCAGGCCUUUGAGGGAAGCCAGAAACUCUUCUAUCUAUGUGAUGCCUCGAUCAGAAACCACUGCUGUUUUUAAAAAUCCACAUCUGCUGUGGACUGGGGUGGGGGCUGCCAUGGUCCCCAGGGGCCACCUCGCCGGCACACUCAGUGGUUCCAGGCGUCCGGGAGACGAAGCCCUAGAGUCACCUCCACUUCGAGGCAAGCUGCCUCUUCUUUUCCCAACGUCAUCCACCCUCCGGUUCACGCCAGGCCUGGGCAUCUUUCCUCCUCCACUCUGGAGCAGAGAUCAAAGAAAUAGGAUUUGCAGCAGCUUAUAG